AGCUGAAGGAAUGAUUCUGAUCUCACACGAACAGAGAUUUUGCUCUUUCCUCAGUUUUACCAGUUCUAUCCUGAGGCAGACAAGUUGCAUCGAGCAGAGUCUGGUGUUUCUACACUUCAGAGGCAAUACAUUAUGCAGUGGACUUCACCAAAAAUAAUGCAGCUGGCAAGAAUAUUUCCUAUACACUGGCUGCCACAAGAGAGGAGCCCCGAAGAGGAGAUACAAGCACUGCCUGAAACAAUCCCUCAGCCUUGGCCAUAUUGAUCACCACCAUUGGUCUACCCUGGCCUCCAAUCGGGAGGCCUGGAGACACACCAUCUAUAACGCUGCUGCUGCUUUUGAGAACACACGCAGGAUCACUCUCGAGGAGAAAAGACAACGCAGAAAGAAUCGCGUCUCGUCGGUAUCACCUGGGGAGUCUUUCUGCUUUGCCUUCUGCAACCGGACUUGUCUAUCUCGCAUUGGCCUUUUUAGCCAUCAGCGCGCUUGUAGCAAACAUGGGUAGAGCCCUUCUCAAAUCUUCGUUUGCGAAGCCCAGCCAUGAUGAUAGAAAGUGGGGGGAAGAAGAAGGGGGAGAUGUUUGGCGUGAUAGUGUUUGUCUUCCCAAGUCAGUGUGAUGGGGCCCUGCUCUCACUGAGAUGGCUGAACACCUGUUUGUUCAUGGGAAGUGGUGAAUUAAUUGCUUGGUUUGUUUGUUUGCAUGUACAAUUUUUGCAUUCCCUGUUAAACCAUCUUUAUCUCAACCCAAAAGUUUUCCAGCUUUUACUGUUCCAAUUUUCCCUCUGAUCUCACU